rnacentral:rRNA from 1 species
AACGACUCUCGGCAACGGAUAUCUCGGCUCACGCAUCGAUGAAGAACGUAGCAAAAUGCGAUACUUGGUGUGAAUUGCAGAAUCCCGUGAACCAUCGAGUUUUUGAACGCAAGUUGCGCCCAAAGCCAUCCGGCUGAGGGCAUGCCUGCCUGGGCGUCACGCA